AGAGUUUGAUCCUGGCUCAGGAUGAACGCUAGCGGCAGGCUUAAUACAUGCAAGUCGAGGGGCAGCACGUCUUCGGAUGGUGGCGACCGGGAAACGGGUGCGGAACACGUACACAACCUUCCUUUUACUGGGGGAUAGCCCAAACAAAUUUGGAUUAAUACCCCGUAACAUAUUAUAGCGGCAUCGCUUAGAUAUUAUAAGUUUACCGCUAAGAGAUGGGUGUGCGGCUGAUUAGGUAGUUGGCGGAGUAACAGCCCACCAAGCCAACAAUCAGUAGCUGAUGUGAAAGCAUGAUCAGCCACACGGGCACUGAAACACGGGCCCGACUCCUACGGGAGGCAGCAGUAAGGAAUAUUGGACAAUGGACGCAAGUCUGAUCCAGCCAUGCCGCGUGAAGGAUUAAGGCCCUCUGGGUUGUAAACUUCUUUUAUAGGGGACGAAAAAAGGGCUUUCUAGCUCGUCUGACGGUACCCUAUGAAUAAGCACCGACUAACUCCGUGCCAGCAGCCGCGGUAAUACGGAGGGUGCAAGCGUUAUCCGGAUUCACUGGGUUUAAAGGGUGCGUACGCGGGCAGUUAAGUCAGAGGUGAAAUCUUCCAGCUCAACUCGGAUACUGCCAUUGAUACUAUCUGUCUUGAAUACUGUGGAGGUGAGCGGAAUAUGUCAUGUAUCGGUGAAAUGCUUACAUAUGACAUAGAACACCGAUUGCGAACGCAGCUCGCUACACGAAUAUUGACGCUGACGCACGAAAGCGUGCGGAUCAAACAGGAUUAAAUACCCUGGUAGUCCACGCCCUAAACUAUGGAUACUCGACAUUUGCGAUACACAGUAAGUGUCUGAGCGAAAGCAUUAAGUAUCCCACCUGGGAAGUACGACUGCAGGGUUGAAACUCAAAGGAAUUGGCGGGG
rnacentral:rRNA from 1 species